rnacentral:rRNA from 1 species
GACAGAGGCCUCGAGCGUUAGGCGGAAUCACUGGGCUUAAAGCGGGUGUAGGCGGAUGCCUAAGUACCUUGUGAAAUCCCACGGCUCACCCGUGGAACCGCUGGGUAUACUGGGCAUCUUGGGCCAUUCAGGGGCAACUGGAACAAGCGGUGGAGCGGUGAAAUGCGUAGAUAUCGCUUGGAACGCCGACGGUGAAAACAGGUUGCUGGGAAUGUGCCGACGCUGAGACACGAAAUCCAGGGGAGCAAACGGG